ensembl:misc_RNA
UGAGUUGUUCUAGAGAGUGAUGUCCUCUGUUUAGCCACAGAACAGUUACAUCAUAGGCAGUAGCAUCACAAGCUUCCUUAUGCUGCCCCUUGCCAAUGAGCCUCAUGCCUGACCAGGAGGGACCACCUCUAGGAGCAUGAAGGCAGUUCAGGCAGUCAUUUGCCUCUUAGCUGAGGCUGUC